UUGGACCUGAUAUCAGGCAAGAUUACCCGCUAA
rnacentral:rRNA from 1 species